rnacentral:misc_RNA from 1 species
GGAACCUUUUCAUGUGCAGUGAUUUUGAAUGAGUGAGCAGGCAGCGAAGACCUUCACCACAUGAGCACAGAGACGAACAGUAAUUGGACGUUUUUACAGAGAUAUAAAUCUCAAAACUGAACAAACUAUCUCCUCUGUUUUCUUUGAAGCACUAAGUGUGUAUUUCAACUAUUUCACCUUAAGCUGUAUGUAUUAUCGAUCCAAGAUUUUCAAAAAAUCAUUUUCUG